rnacentral:rRNA from 14 species
AGUACUUGGCUCACAUCACGAGGAAUCUCGAGGCCGAGUUCGAUUACAUCGACAAAUUGCAGGACCUCG